AGUGAACGCUGGCGGUAGGCCUAACACAUGCAAGUCGAACGGCAGCACAGUAAGAGCUUGCUCUUACGGGUGGCGAGUGGCGGACGGGUGAGGAAUACAUCGGAAUCUACUUUUUCGUGGGGGAUAACGUAGGGAAACUUACGCUAAUACCGCAUACGACCUACGGGUGAAAGCAGGGGAUCUUCGGACCUUGCGCGGUUGAAUGAGCCGAUGUCGGAUUAGCUAGUUGGCGGGGUAAAGGCCCACCAAGGCGACGAUCCGUAGCUGGUCUGAGAGGAUGAUCAGCCACACUGGAAUUGAGACACGGUCCAGACUCCUACGGGAGGCAGCAGUGGGGAAUAUUGGACAAUGGGCGCAAGCCUGAUCCAGCCAUACCGCGUGGGUGAAGAAGGCCUUCGGGUUGUAAAGCCCUUUUGUUGGGAAAGAAAAGCAGCAGGUUAAUACCCCGCUGUUCUGACGGUACCCAAAGAAUAAGCACCGGCUAACUUCGUG
rnacentral:rRNA from 1 species